AAUCCAGAUGCAUGUCACAGCUGCCUAAGAACGACUGGAGUGUGUGGUUUCAGCAGGGAAGGAAUGACCGUAUAACGGCCUCCCACGGGGGGCCGGCUGGCAGAUUGCCCAAGAGACCUUGGCCAUGCCCUGGGCUGGCUCUCUGUGCAAUGGAUUAGGCAGUCGUCGGAGGCUUAAAGGAGCAAGGCCUCCAGACCUGACCCAGUUUCUGUCUUCGACUUUUGUCUUUACAGGAGAACCGUUGUCCAAAGGAGGUUCAACUUCCAGUUCUACAGCCCGGCACGUAUGUGGCCCUGUCCGAGCAGGAGAAAAACAACAUGACGUCAGUCAUGCGGAAGGAGGAACAGCACCCAACUCUCAGUGGCUGGAGAUGAAAUUGCUUCUUGUUCAUUCCCCCGGUGCCUUGGCGGCCAGGUGGUACACACUCCUCAUGCAGGACCCAGCUGCAUGGUGCCAGCAACCAUAACUGGGCCAUAAAGUGAAAUCCCCCCGUGUGGCGGAAAGGGGGCGCCAGAGAGAGUGGGCCUUCGAGGGAUCCACUUCCGAAGCCUCCCGUCAUCCAGGGUGGUGGCCAGUUGUGUGAAAGAGCUCUCUUGGCUGCGCCUCGAUUUUCACCGUCCACCCCUCAGCAGUGUUUGCAGUUUUGAGGAAUCCAUUUAACGUGUGUGUGUGUGUGUGUGUGUGUGUGUGUGUGUGCGCGCGCGCACGCAAUCGCUAGCUCCGGGUAUGGACAUUCUGGAGGGAACCGGCGAUUGGGAGUGAAAUAUGCGCCAAAGCACCACAGAGCCUGAUUGGCUGUAGAAGUCUCUGGCCGAGCUUGGUUGAGAACCAUUGACCUGCUUCUGCCAGGGAUGUAAUUUAAGAAUGACCCCUUAAGCCUAUGAAACGGGGUUUCAACCAUGACUUACUACAAUUAUUACAGAGUCAAACAGCGAGACCACAU